GUAGGUGAACCUGCGGAAGGAUCAUUAGUGAAUUAUAGGGCGUCUACUUGUAGAGCCUGACCUCCACUUCUAACACUGUGCACUUGAUGGAAAGGUAAUUAUGAUUAGGCUUCGGCUUAUGAUGAGAACCUUUCGGCUUCAUUUUAAACAUUAGUCAAAGUAUGUAAAGAAAUUUAAAACAAAAAAAAACUUUCAACAACGGAUCUCUUGGUUCUG
rnacentral:misc_RNA from 1 species